AAACAGCAGGCGUAGGUGAGUGUCAGGCCCAAGCCGGGACCCUCCUGCAGGUAAACCGGUUUUCUGUGAAGACCCUGAUUGAUCGGUCAUGCUUUGAGACAAUUGAUGAUUCUUCUCCUGAAUUUAACAAUUUUGCAGCUAUUUUGGAACAGAUUUUAAGCCACCGGCUAAAAGAGAUUUCCCCAAGUUGCAGAUGGCUGGCUCAUCUCCAAAUACCUCUUCAAGGUCAAGUAACCUGGUUUGGUUAUGAAAGUCCUCGUAGCUUCUGGGACUAUAUCAGAGUGGCUUGCCGGAAAGUUUCACAGAAUUGUAUCUGCAGCAUUGAAAAUAUGGAAAAUGUCAGUUCUUCUAGAGCUAAGGGUAGAGCCUGGAUCAGAGUAGCACUCAUGGAAAAACAUUUAUCUGAAUACAUCUCUACAGCUCUGAGAGACUUCAAAACAACCAGGAGAUUUUAUGAAGAUGGAGCAAUUGUCUUGGGUGAAGAAGCAAAUAUGCUUGCCGGCAUGCUUCUAGGACUCAAUGCUAUUGAUUUCAGUUUCUGCCUAAAGGGAGAGGGGCUGGAUGGCAGUUUUCC
rnacentral:sRNA from 1 species